UUGAUCACGCAGGAAUCUUACCGGGUCCGGACACACUGAGGAUUGACAGAUACAAUGAAAAAUAUGAUAGCUCUUUCAUAAUUAUGUGAUAGGUGGUGCAUGGCCGUUCUUAGUUCGUGGAGUGAUCUGUCUGCUUAAUUGCGUUGGUAUAUAUAAUGCAUGUUAAUUGCAUUUUUACCAUGCAACGAACGUGACCGCAACCUCUUGUUGCACUAUAGCUUCUCAUGGUGCAAAACUAGAGGGACCGCUGUAUUUAUUUCUUUUAGCCAGAGGAAGGAUGCGGCAAUAACAGGUCUGUGAUGC
rnacentral:rRNA from 1 species